AAACCGGUUGUCAUCGCUGGAACCAAGAUCAGAAGGGAACAAAUUUGACCCGUGCCAGGACAACUGAGUGGAAAAGUGCGCCUUUCAUUAAGGGCCAGAAAAUCGCUGUUCGCGGGUGAGCAUAUCACCAAGAGUGCCCCAUCCGUUGUGCCCUGAAGAAGAAACCGCCGGGGAGAGUGAAGAAACGCUAGAAGAAGCCGCCGGUUGUGAUUAAGCUCGGCAGAUCAGUGAUAGUGACCAAGGAACCGUUUUUGAUUCGUCCGGUUGCUUCACCGCCCCCUCGCAAGAACAGAGCCGACUAGGGUGCCACGUUUUCGGCGGAACCGUGUGUGCUGCGCUUCGUCCGGUUAGUUGCCCUCCGCCAAAUAAAAGCCAGCUGGUGUAUUACGUUUUCGACAAGCGGCUUUUGUGGGUAAAGCAAAAGAACAAAGACGAGCCUCCCAGCUAUGACAGCGGACACUAGGUUCAUGUGUUCAGGACACCGCCAUCGCUUAACUCGGAAGUCAUCGUGCCAAGGACCGCCUAAAGGUUCCAUUCAUCUUCAGAUGGACUGGUAAUAUGUAAUACCCUCCCAUUUAUCCCUUUCCGCAUCCAUUCCUAAGAAUGUACCAAAAGUAUGAUAAUUAAGAAUAUAAUUAAAUAAUGUUAAGUUAAAUUA